UAACUGAAGAGUUUGAUCAUGGCUCAGAUUGAACGCUGGCGGCAGGCUUAACACAUGCAAGUCGAGCGGGGGAAGGUAGCUUGCUACUGGACCUAGCGGCGGACGGGUGAGUAAUGCUUAGGAAUCUGCCUAUUAGUGGGGGACAACAUCUCGAAAGGGAUGCUAAUACCGCAUACGUCCUACGGGAGAAAGCAGGGGAUCUUCGGACCUUGCGCUAAUAGAUGAGCCUAAGUCGGAUUAGCUAGUUGGUGGGGUAAAGGCCUACCAAGGCGACGAUCUGUAGCGGGUCUGAGAGGAUGAUCCGCCACACUGGGACUGAGACACGGCCCAGACUCCUACGGGAGGCAGCAGUGGGGAAUAUUGGACAAUGGGGGGAACCCUGAUCCAGCCAUGCCGCGUGUGUGAAGAAGGCCUUAUGGUUGUAAAGCACUUUAAGCGAGGAGGAGGCUACUUUAGUUAAUACCUAGAGAUAGUGGACGUUACUCGCAGAAUAAGCACCGGCUAACUCUGUGCCAGCAGCCGCGGUAAUACAGAGGGUGCGAGCGUUAAUCGGAUUUACUGGGCGUAAAGCGUGCGUAGG
rnacentral:rRNA from 1 species